rnacentral:rRNA from 1 species
UACGAAGGGGGCUAGCGUUGCUCGGAAUCACUGGGCGUAAAGGGUGCGUAGGCGGGUUUUUAAGUCAGAGGGGAAAUCCUGGAGCUCAACUCCAGAACUGCCUUUGAUACUGAAAGUCUUGAGUAUGGGAGAGGUGAGUGGAACUGCGAGUGUAGAGGUGAAAUUCGUAGAUAUUCGCAAGAACCCCAGUGGCGAAGGCGGCUCACUGGCCCAUUACUGACGCUGAGGCACGAAAGCGUGGGGAGCAAACAGG